rnacentral:rRNA from 1 species
CCGGACGGUUUUCGUACGUGACCUGCGGAGGUCAUUAUUGAAAUAAACCUGAUGAGUUGCUGCUGGUUCUCUAGGGAGCAUGUGCACACUUGUCAUCUUUAUAUCUCCACCUGUGAACCUUUUGUAGACCUGGAUAUCUCUCCAAAUGGGUUUUAGGAUUGAUUUUUUUCUUUCCUUGCAUUUUCAGGUCUAUGUUUUCCAUAUACCCCAUGUAUGUCUAUAGAAUGUAAUGAACAGGCCUCUGCGCCUAUAAACUUAUACAACUUUCAGCAACGGAUCUCUUGGCUCUCGCAUCGAUGAAGAACGCAGCGAAAUGCGAUAAGUAAUGUGAAUUGCAGAAUUCAGUGAAUCAUCGAAUCUUUGAACGCAUCUUGCGCUCCUUGGUAUUCCGAGGAGCAUGCCUGUUUGAGUGUCAUUAAUAUAUCAACCCUCUUCGGCUUUUUGCAUGUCGAAGGUUGGAUCUGGGGGUUUUUGCUGGACUCUCUCCUGAGGUCAGCUCCCCUAAAAUACAUUAGCAAAACAAUUUGUUAACCGCUCAUUGGUGUGAUAACUAUCUACGCUAUUGACGAUAACACACAGUUUAGCUUCCAACAGUCCAUUGACUUGGACAAUUCUUUAUCAAUGUGACCUCAAAUCAGGUAGGAUUACCCGCUGAACUUAAGCAUAUCAAUAAGCGGAGGAA